ensembl:lncRNA
GGACUGUAAGUCGCCAGCCCCUGAGAACCACUGCUUUUCUUCCUGAGCUCUUCCCACACGCCCACACUUCCUUCUUCCCUACGAUUGGCUGACUUCUCAUUUGCAUAGCUCUGUCCGUGUGCACGCAGGCCAUCCGGGCUUGCGCUCCUUUUUUAUUACAGCUUGCCCAAUAAUCCUUUUGUAUGAUCACACUGCAUUUGAUUUACUCAUCAAUUUAUCUAUAGGUACCUGACUUCUUCUUUCUCACUUCUGUAAAUACAGCAGGAUGAUAUUCCAUUGUAUGACUAUACCAUGCUCACACAUCCAUCCAUCAGUUAACGGGCACAGAGGCUGCUCCCACUCUCUGGCUACCAUGAAGAGCAGCUAUGAACAUGGAUACGUUGUCACUGCUGUUGCUAACUGGAUUCUGCUGAGCUGAACUGCUGGUGUUAUCAGUGAAGUGCUUGCAAAGGAUCGAGCUGCUGCCGCCAGAUGACCUGUGAAUUGAACUGCUGAUUUCCAGACAACACAGACUGGAGUUGCUUCAGAGAACCUUUCUAAACAGCCAUUGGCUCUUUAUGGAUUAAUCAAAAACCAAGUGGGGACAGGAACCCUCAGUGUCUGGACAUGCAGUUUCCCAUAGGACUUUGGGAGCCGAAUUGAGAAAAAACAUUAGAACCAAUCCCUAACAACUUAUGGAAAAAAUGUUACAAUAUUAAGAAGUUGCCAGCACGGUGGGAUGAGAUGGACACCUGACGGAAACAACCUAAAGAAUGAAGAAGGGUUUGUUAUUGUUGUUUGCUGUGUGAGAGAGUACGCCGGCUGCUGCUCACAUGAUCCCAGCUGUUAGGAAGUAGAGACAAAAACACUGACUAGAACCAGGGCCAGACUGCUGCCCAGAAGGCCUGCCACCCCAGGGAUCACUUCCUCCCGUGAGGCUCCACCUUCUAAAGGUUCCAAAACCUUCCAAGCCAGCUGCCAGCUGUAACCCGAUGUUCAAACACACGAACCAAAUGGGGGUGUCGAAUGGCCAAACCAAAACACGAUUCAAGUGAAAAACUGAAAGACUACUGUUGUAACCUAGAUAGAAUGGUGCGUGCGUGCGUGCAUGUGUGUGUGUGUGUGUGUGUGUGUGUGUGUGUGCGUGCGUGCGUGUGUGUGUGUGUCGGGGGGGGGUUGGGCCUGAAGAGAAGACAGACACACGUAAAGCAGAAUCAGGUUUGACUAACUGACUGAAUGAAAAGAGACAAGGGAGGGUCUGACCCAAGAUUACACAGCUUGGGAGUGGCAGUGGUAUCACGAAUACGAACAGAGAUGGGAACGAGGAGACGCUCAUGGGUUCUAUUUUUAAUAUAGCAUGGCAGGGUGCUAACAGGGAAUUAGGUAUGAGGAAUGUGACUGGAGAGAGAGAGAGGUCACCUCUGGAGACCGCCGCUUUGGGAACUGUGUGCAUCGAAGUGCUAAUUAAACCCACAGGGCUGAUUGGAAGCUGCCAAACCAGGAAGCCCAGGGAGAGCAGAGUCUGCAUCAGACGCAAGCGGGCCAGGAGAAGAAGCUGGGAAGAAAGACUACCCAGUGCCAGAUGCAUCCCGGGCUGCUGGAUGAAGCAGAUAAAGUGCCCCCUCUACCCAAAACAAAAGCCUUUCACUCACAUAAUUCUCUGCUCUCUAAACUUCUGUUUGUUUCCACUGUAAAAGUUGUUUUCUUUCUAGUCCUUUCGUAGCCUAUUAGCUUUUUCAGUCUCAUAGUCCAGUAAUCUAAACAAACCAGCAUCAAUCAAUAAAAUACUCUACUUUCUUUCUGGGCUCCUGUACCAUGCAACACAUUCUAACACGUUCCAGUUAUGGUUUGGAUGGGGCUAGUCCUCCGAGGGCACUUAUGUAGGGAAGUUUGGUCCCUAAUGUAGCCGUGUUAGGAGCUGUGGUGUUAG